rnacentral:rRNA from 1 species
GACGAACGCUGGCGGCGUGCUUAACACAUGCAAGUCGAACGGAAAGGCCCUGCUUGCAGGGUACUCGAGUGGCGAACGGGUGAGUAACACGUGGGUGAGCUGCCCUGCACUUCGGGAUAGGCUUGGGAAACGGGGUGGAAUACCGGAUAGGAGACAGCUUUAGGGUGGAGGUUGGAGAGUUUUUUCGGUGUAGGAUGAGCUCGCGGCCUAUCAGCUUGUUGGUGGGGUAAUGGCCUACCAAGGCGGCGACGGGUAGCCGGCCUGCGAGGGUGUACGGCCACAUUGGGCCUGAGCUACGGCCCCGACUCCGACGGGGGGCAGCAGUGGGGCAUAUUGCACAAUGCGCGCCAGCCUGAUGCAGCGACGCCGCGUGGGGGAUGAAGGCCUUCGGGUUGUAAACUCCUUUCGCUAGGGACGAAGCUUUGUUGUGACGGUACCUAGAGAAGAAGCACCGGCUAACUACGUG